rnacentral:tRNA from 1 species
ACUAUUUUGGCAGAUAAGUGCAUUGGAUUUAGAAUCUAUAAAUGUAAAUUAAUAUUUUACAAGUAGUA